CGGGAAGCCAGGCGGCGACGCCGAGCGGAGCCCGAAAACCUGUCUCAGUUCGGAUCGGAGUCUGCAACCCGACUCCGUGAAGCUGGAUUCGCUAGUAAUCGCGCAUCAGCCAUGGCGCGGUGAAUACGUUCCCGGGCCUUGUACACACCGCCCGUCAAGCCAUGGAAGCCGGGGGUGCCUGAAGUGUGCAGCCGCAAGGAGCGCCCUAAGGUAAAACCGGUGACUGGGGCUAAGUCGUAACAAGGUAUC
rnacentral:rRNA from 1 species